rnacentral:ncRNA from 1 species
GGAUUUUACACAUGCAAAUUAAACAUAAUAUAAUAUUAUAAAAUAAUAAAAAUUAUAAUAUGUAGUGAACAAGUGAGUAAAAUUUGGUAAAAAAUAAUAAUUAAUAUUAUAAGUAUUUUUAUAAAAUUUAAAAAAUUAGAAUAAAUAUAAUAAGAUUUAAUAUUUCCGCGCCUUUAGGCGCGGGAGGGUUAAAAAUAUGAAAUUAUAUUGAUAAAAAUAUAACCAAAGUCAGUUUAAGGUAGUUGAUGGAGAAAGCCCACCAAGCCUAAGAUCUGUAAUCGAUUAUAAAAAUAAGAACGAUCACGUUGGUUCUGAAAAACAAUCAACAUCUUAUAGAUGCAGCAGUGGAGAAUAUUUGGCAAUAUUCGAAAGAAUGACCAAGUUCC